rnacentral:rRNA from 1 species
GGCGGACGGGUGAGUAACACGUGGGUAACCUGCCCAAAAGUGGGGGAUAACAUCUGGAAACAGGUGCUAAUACCGCAUAACAACUACUUUCUCAUGAUCGUAGCUUGAAAGAUGGCUCUGCUAUCGCUUUUGGAUGGACCCGCGGCGUAUUAGCUAGUUGGUGAGGUAAUAGCUCACCAAGGCAAUGAUACGUAGCCGACCUGAGAGGGUAAUCGGCCACAUUGGGACUGAGACACGGCCCAAACUCCUACGGGAGGCAGCAGUAGGGAAUCUUCCACAAUGGGCGAAAGCCUGAUGGAGCAAUGCCGCGUGAGUGAAGAAGGUUUUCGGAUCGUAAAACUCUGUUGUUGAAGAAGAACAUGCGUGAGAGUAACUGUUCACGUACUGACGGUAUUCAACCAGAAAGCCACGGCUAACUACGUGCCAGCAGCCGCGGUAAUACGUAGGUGGCAAGCGUUGUCCGGAUUUAUUGGGCGUAAAGAGAAUGUAGGCGGUUUAUUAAGUUUGAAGUGAAAGCCCUCGGCUCAACCGAGGAAGUGCUUCGAAAACUGGUAAACUUGAGUGCAGAAGAGGAAAGUGGAACUCCAUGUGUAGCGGUGGAAUGCGUAGAUAUAUGGAAGAACACCAGUGGCGAAGGCGGCUUUCUGGUCUGUAACUGACGCUGAGAUUCGAAAGCAUGGGUAGCAAACAGGAUUAGAUACCCUGGUAGUCCAUGCCGUAAACGAUGAGUGCUAAGUGUUGGAGGGUUUCCGCCCUUCAGUGCUGCAGCUAACGCAUUAAGCACUCCGCCUGGGGAGUACGAUCGCAAGAUUGAAACUCAAAGGAAUUGACGGGGGCCCGCACAAGCGGUGGAGCAUGUGGUUUAAUUCGAAGCAACGCGAAGAACCUUACCAGGUCUUGACAUACCAUGAAAAGCUAAGAGAUUAGUCUUUCCCUUCGGGGACAUGGAUACAGGUGGUGCAUGGUUGUCGUCAGCUCGUGUCGUGAGAUGUUGGGUUAAGUCCCGCAACGAGCGCAACCCUUAUUAUCAGUUGCCAGCAUUCAGUUGGGCACUCUGGUGAGACUGCCGGUGACAAACCGGAGGAAGGUGGGGACGACGUCAAAUCAUCAUGCCCCUUAUGACCUGGGCUACACACGUGCUACAAUGGUCGGUACAACGUGCUGCGAACUCGCGAGGGUAAGCAAAUCACUUAAAACCGAUCUCAGUUCGGAUUGUAGGCUGCAACUCGCCUACAUGAAGCUGGAAUCGCUAGUAAUCGCGGAUCAGCAUGCCGC